GGAGAGAUGGCUGAGUGGUCGAAAGCGGCUGCCUGCUAAGCAGUUGUAGUGCUAUACGGCGCUACCCCGGGUUCGAAUCCCGGUCUCUCCG
rnacentral:tRNA from 1 species